rnacentral:rRNA from 1 species
AGUGAACGCUGGCGGCGUGCUUAACACAUGCAAGUCGAACGAGAACGGGUUAUAGCUUGCUAUAAUUGUCAGCUAAGUGGCGCACGGGUGAGUAAUGUAUAGGUAAUAUGCCUCUUACUAAGGGAUAACAAAUGGAAACGUUUGCUAAUACCUUAUACUCCUUAUUAACAUAAGUUAAUAAGUGAAAGAUUUAUUGGUAAGAGAUUAGCCUGUAUUGUAUCAGUUAGUUGGUGGGGUAAUGGCUUACCAAGACUAUGACACAUAACUGGUUUGAGAGGAUGAUCAGUCACACUGGAACUGAGACACGGUCCAGACUCCUACGGGAGGCAGCAGUGGGGAAUAUUGCACAAUGGACGAAAGUCUGAUGCAGCAACGCCGCGUGGAGGAUGACACAUUUCGGUGCGUAAACUCCUUUUAUAUGAGAAGAUAAUGACGGUAUUAUAUGAAUAAGCACCGGCUAACUCCGUGCCAGCAGCCGCGGUAAUAC